rnacentral:tRNA from 1 species
AGAAUUUUAGUUAAAUUUAUAAUAUUAUUUUGUCAAAAUAAAGUUUGAAAAUUCUU